rnacentral:ncRNA from 1 species
CAGAUCUUGGUGGUAGUAGCAAAUAUUCAAAUGAGAACUUUGAAGGCCGAAGAGGAGAAAUGUUCCAUGUGAACGGCACUUGCACAUGGGUAAGCCGAUCCUAAGGGACGGGGUAACCCCGGCAGAUAGCGCGAUCACGCGCAUCCCCCGAAAGGGAAUCGGGUUAAGAUUUCCCGAGCCGGGAUGUGGCGGUUGACGGUGACGUUAGGAAGUCCGGAGACGCUAGCGGGGGUCUCGGGAAGAGUUAUCUCUUCUGCUUAACGGCCUGCCAACCCUGGAAAUGGUUCAGCCGGACGUAGGGUCCAGUGGCCGGAAGAGCACCGCGCGUCGCGCGGUGUCCGGUGCGCCCCUGGCGGCCCAUGAAAAUCCGGAGGACCGAGUACCGUUCACGCCUAGUCGUACUCAUAAUCGCAUCAGGUCUCCAAGGUGAACAGCCUCUGGCCAAUGGAACAAUGCAGGCAAGGGAAGUCGGCAAAACGAUUCGUAACUUCGGGAAAAGGAUUGGCUCGGAGGACUGGGCUCGGGUGUCCCGGCCCCGAACCCGUCGGCUGUCGACGGAUUGCUCGAGCUGCUCACGAGGCGAGCGCGGGUCGCCGCGUGCCGGCCGGGGGACGGACCGGGAAUCGCCCCUUCGGGGGCUUUCCCCGAGCAUGAAACAGUCGACUCAGAACUGGUACGGACAAGGGGAAUCCGACUGUUUAAUUAAAACAAAGCAUUGCGAUGGUCCUCGCGGAUGCUGACGCAAUGUGAUUUCUGCCUAGUGCUCUGAAUGUCAAAGUGAAGA